rnacentral:rRNA from 1 species
GACGAACGCUGGCGGCGCGCCUUACACAUGCAAGUCGAACGAGAGAUGAGGAGCUUGCUCUUCAAAUCGAGUGGCGAACGGGUGAGUAACGCGUGAGGAACCUGCCUCAAAGAGGGGGACAACAGUUGGAAACGACUGCUAAUACCGCAUAAGCCCACGGCUCGGCAUCGAGCAGGGGGAAAAGGAGCAAUCCGCUUUGAGAUGGCCUCGCGUCCGAUUAGCUAGUUGGUGAGGUAACGGCCCACCAAGGCGACGAUCGGUAGCCGGACUGAGAGGUUGAACGGCCACAUUGGGACUGAGACACGGCCCAGACUCCUACGGGAGGCAGCAGUGGGGAAUAUUGCACAAUGGGGGUAACCCUGAUGCAGCGACGCCGCGUGGAGGAAGAAGGUCUUCGGAUUGUAAACUCCUGUUGUUGAGGAAGAUAAUGACGGUACUCAACAAGGAAGUGACGGCUAACUACGUGCCAGCAGCCGCGGUAAAACGUAGGUCACAAGCGUUGUCCGGAAUUACUGGGUGUAAAGGGAGCGCAGGCGGGAGAACAAGUUGGAAGUGAAAUCCAUGGGCUCAACCCAUGAACUGCUUUCAAAACUGUUUUUCUUGAGUAGUGCAGAGGUAGGCGGAAUUCCCGGUGUAGCGGUGGAAUGCGUAGAUAUCGGGAGGAACACCAGUGGCGAAGGCGGCCUACUGGGCACCAACUGACGCUGAGGCUCGA